rnacentral:rRNA from 1 species
UACGGGGGAGCAAGCGUUGUUCGGAUUUACUGGCGUAAAGGGCGCGUAGGCGGUCAGCACAAGUCAGUUGUGAAAUCUCCGGGCUUAACCCGGAAAGGUCAACUGAUACUGUGCGACUAGAGUGCGGAAGGGGCAACUGGAAUUCUCGGUGUAGCGGUGAAAUGCGUAGAUAUCGAGAGGAACACCUGCGGCGAAGGCGGGUUGCUGGGCCGACACUGACGCUGAUGCGCGAAAGCCAGGGGAGCGAACGGG